GGACCCACCUGAUUCCAUGCCGAACUCAGAAGUGAAACGAAUUAGCGCCGAUGGUAGUGUGGGGCUUCCCCAUGUGAGAGUAGGACAUCGCCAGGU
rnacentral:rRNA from 1 species